UUAGAUGAUAAUCAAAUUUUAAUUCAAAUCAAACUGACUCUAAAACUAAAAGUGACCAUGAUGGCUCAAAUAUUUUUUCCUCUAGAAAAUUGUAAUAUUGGUUCAAACAUGACGUUUUUGAGAUCAACUCUUCGGCAAUUGCGUCAGGGGCGAAUCCAGCCGCUCGUGUGAGCUAGGGCGGAGCAUCGAACAGUACCUCCAAUAUAGCAAGAUUUUUUACUAAUAUUUAAUUAGUUCAUAUUAAAAGAAUCUCCAAUUAAUAUAUAAAAUACAGUAAAGUAUAAAAUCAUAUACAUAUGAAAAUAUAAUUCCCUUUCUUAAGGUGUUGCUCAUGCAGCCACAAUCGGAUUCACAUAGUGCGAUCGUUGACUGUUGACAGUCAACAAUCAUAAUAUCAAGAUCGUUUAUUAAUAUUUAAUUAAAUAAUAUUAAAAACUAUUCAAUAUAUAUAUAAAUGCUCUUAAACACAAACUCCCAAUUUUCAUAAAUGUAAAUCACAGAUAAAACUAUCACCAAGUUUAAGUCUCCAAUUUCCAACAACUUAUUAUUUAUCAUACAAAUUCUUCAAUUUAUCAUUGUCUAGAGAUAUCAAAUAUUCUCAAAAUUUCAAUUUUCAUAAAUCAUAAACCUAACAUUCAGCAACAAAAUCCCCAAUAUUCUCAAAUUCUUGAAUUCACAAAAUCCCCAAUUAUCAAAAAUCUAAAUCCCCAUAGUCAACAAUCUCAAAAACACAUCCAUAACUCAUAAAGCAUAAAUCAUAAAUGAUGAAUAAAAAAAAUGAACUAAACUCUAAAAGAACAAAAACCAAAAUAAAAAAAAAAAUAUCGAAAAAAGAAAAAGAAAAUGGAGGCAGUAAAUUCACUAUCUCACAAUCGCGAAGCCCAAUGGUAAAGACCACAGAGGCUAGGCAUCGACAGUCGGCACGAGACUACAUCGUCACAGGGCAGGGGUUGGGUGCGAGAAAUUGAGGUACUGAAAGAUCAAGGAGUUUGCAAGUGGAAUUAUCCUUUAAGAUUACUUCAUAAUCAAGCCAAGAAGAAUCUCAAAUCCUAUUAUCUGACUCAAAUUCUACCUCCAACUAGAAAAUUUUCUUCUUCUACUGCUACUGUUGUUGUUGGGAAGAUGAAGAGAAGCGAAAAAUCUAUGGAAUAAGUGAUGGAUUUGAGCUGUUGCUGUCUGCUUGAGUGCUUGACCGUUUCCUGGAGAGUCUGGAGUUGGAGAAAGAAGAAACGAGGUCGACGAAACGGGUUUGGCAAUUUGGGGGAAUUGUAUUUGGGAGAUUCACAAUUCUUGCUUGCUGGACCUCAGGACCUGGAUGAUUGAAAAAUUGAAAUGAUGAAAUGGUUUGAUAUAUUGGAUAAUUUCAUUGACAAUUGGGCUAAAUAAUAAGAGGCUCAAAAUUUCUUUAAUUCACUGAAGCCCAAACCAAAAAAAAAGGGAAUUUCUUCUUCCUUCUCCAGGUGG
rnacentral:lncRNA from 1 species